ensembl:lncRNA
UGGACGUUAAACCUGUAAAUCCUGAACCAUGAAAUCAUUGCUCGAUCAUUCAAAUUUUAUUGGUCCAACGCAUCAAACGUGACUCCAACGUCACUUCCGUACGAGACGUUGCAUCCUGUAAGUGUGGAGUUUGACCGAGCGGCUGAACGACAGAUCGGUUCUAACAGUCAGUGACUUUCAGCUUUAUUUAAACCUUAAAUUUAAUCUCGUUUUGUCAGGUUUAAACUCAGGUUCAGUUAUUGAGUGAAAACACCAACAGACUCAGACAUUUAGGACAAACUAAGAGUCAGAUGAGCAGAAACAGAGAACACGGACAUGUCUGCUGUAACUGCGUCACUCUGCUCCACUUUGCUGAUGUUCGAUGGAGUCUUCAUGUUUGUCUCUGCAGGACAGACAGAUGAAGGAUGGAGACGUGUCUUUGAUUCUGAAGAAUGUGACGAUUAAUGACACUGGAACAUACGAGUGUCGAGUUGCCCAAAAAGAACCAAACCAAGAGAUAUCCAGUUUGAAGCUCAUCAGCAUCAUCUACCUUCAUGUUGAUCCUCCAGGUGAGUGAGUAGAGUUGAGUGUGUGUGUGAUCAGAGGUGAAGCUGCUUCCUGGUUGUUGAUGUUUGUUUCUAAAGAUGUUGUUGAUGAGACUUUGUAGAAAGCAGCUGGUCUGAGUGAUGUGAUCAGAGUGCAGUAGAUAAUGUCUGACAGCAGUUUGAAGAGGAAAUGGAUUCUGUUCUGUUCUUCACUCAUCACCUACCUGACAGCUGACACCUCACACCUGUUUCUCACCUGCAGGUCAGACAGGAGGAUCUGUUGGACUGAUCGUUGGUCUGUCAUUUCUUGCUGUGCUUCUUGUUGCUGCUGUUGCUGGAUUUUUGGUCUGCAGAAAACGUGAGAAAACAAAGAGUCAGGAUCCAUACCAGAUUCCUGCUGAACUGCAGCCUGUUUGAAAUGUGAGUUUCUUACAGCUGAGCUCCUGGAGUCUGAGUCUCCUGAUGAGCCAGAGUUCAUUUAUUGUUAUUGAACAUUCAGAAGAUGAUCUGAGGACAGACAUCAGUCAGCUGUCGGUGAUUUGAAGUUACUGUUUUUGUUUGUUUGUUUGCUUUGUGUGCAUCAGUAUUAGUUAUUAGUUUGUUUUAGCUUCCAGGUUAGUCGCUCAUCUCAGUGGAAGAGUUUAUGUCCUUAAACAGUGUUAUUUACACCUUUGCCUUAUUUCUAUGUGGAACAUUCAGGACUUCAUCAUUCAAACAAAGUUUGUUGUCUCUGUUAAAAUAUCAGUGAGUUUGUUUCAUCUUCAGGUUCAGCUGUUUGUAAGGUCAGACUCACAGACUGAUCCUCAUGUUUAGAUUUGCAUGAACAUGCUUUUCAGCAUCUCUUUAUUGACCACUUUUCACACACGGUUGCUGUACGCAUACAGCCGGCUGCAGCUUUUCAGCUCACAGCCCGACACAUACCAACACAACAGCAUAGAGAGCACAGAUGUAAAGGCGGCGAGGCGUGAUUGCGGGUGCCGCUCAGGUGCGUCCGCCUCCCAAUUAUUAGUAUUAAUAUUAUUAUUAUCUAUUCUCUAUAGAUUUAUACUCCAGUGUUUGGCGCCCCUGAAGUCCUCAGAGAGGUUCGAACAUCAGCACAAGAUGAUUUUGAAAAGAAUCUAGAGACCUGUAGUUUCUUGUUUUUACAUAAUGAUUUGAGAUCCUGCAGCUUCCACAGAACAACAACAUGUGCUGAUAAUCAGUGAACAUAAUGUGUGAGAGAAAGCAGCCUCUCAUUAUAAGACACUGUGAGUCUCUGCAUGCUGCCUUUAUGGAGCUACAGCUGUUUGUAUACACUGAACAAAAAGCUUUGUAGCUGUAUACUGACUCCUGACACUACAACACAGAGCAGAGUAAUUACAGCAGACAUUUCUGUGUUCUCGAUCUGACUCUUAGCUUUUUCUAAAUUUCUCACAGUCUGUCAUGCGAUUAAAAUUUAGGUUUAAAAAAAAAACACCCCUGAAAGCCACUGUGUCAGUAACACAACACAAAGUGCUCAGGGUCCAUUUAUCAGCUAGAACUGAGUGACUGAAUAAUCUGAUAUUAUUAUGAAACCAAAGAGAAAUGUGUUACAUGGAGCUGCAGGGUCACAUGUUUCCUCCUCUGAUCUAUGAAGCCUUAACUUGUUCCUCCAUGAAGGAGACUCUUCAGUUUAAACACGUCAAGAUUAUUUAUUAUUUUAUUUUUUAUACCAGUUUAUCGAUAAAGUUUAAACGUGUUACUCUUGAAUGUUUUUCUUUGCUUCCUGUAGCUGUAAACAUUUCCUGAACUCCUGUUUAAAUGUGUGCAGAUUUGAUCUUGAAUGUAACAGUGUGAACAUUAAUAUACUUAACUUGACAUUAUUACAACCUGUGAUCUGUGGAAGCUCAGUAUUGCCUCCUCUCAGAGGAGGUAAAAGACAGUGUUGAAACCUGGCUGUUCAUGAUGUUUGUGUAUGUGUUGUGUUAUUGAGCACAACACUGUACACAGUUUUUCUGUGUUAACAUCUUUGUGCCUAAUUUAUGGGACAAGCAUGUUAAAUGUUAAUGAGAAGAGCUACAAGUUGAUUUGUACUUUGAAAUGAUCAAACAUUCAUAUUUCACGAUACACUUUCUAUGCGAGCUAGCUUCUGUGCUACUAAAACCUGCUGUUAUUUUGCUGUUAAUGUAUCCUGUUCAUAUGCACAUAAUAAACAUAAUCUCUGAAUGAUAAACAAACCUUUGUCUGUCAUUUCAUACACA